GACGGGGGGGGCAAGUGUUCUUCGGAAUGACUGGGCGUAAAGGGUUCGUAGGUGGCUUGCUAAGUCAGACGUGAAAUCCCUCAGCUUAACUGGGGAACUGCGUCUGAGACUGGCAAGCUUGAGUGCAGGAGAGGAACGCGGAAUUCCAGGUGUAGCGGUGAAAUGCGUAGAUAUCUGGAGGAACACCGGUGGCGAAGGCGGAUCUCUGGACAGUUCCUGACGCUGAGGCGCGAAGGCCAGGGGAGCAAACGGG
rnacentral:rRNA from 1 species